rnacentral:rRNA from 1 species
UACGUAUGGUGCAAGCGUUAUCCGGAUUUACUGGGUGUAAAGGGAGCGUAGACGGAUGUGCAAGUCUGGAGUGAAAGCCCGGGGCUCAACCCCGGGACUGCUUUGGAAACCGUAGAUCUAGAGUGCUGGAGAGGUAAGUGGAAUUCCUAGUGUAGCGGUGAAAUGCGUAGAUAUUAGGAGGAACACCAGUGGCGAAGGCGGCUUACUGGACAGUAACUGACGUUGAGGCUCGAAAGCGUGGGGAGCAAACAGG